CGGCGGGCAGCUUUCUGACGCCGCUCAGCCAAUCCGAGGGGGCGGCAGAGACGGAGGCGCCGUCGCCCAUCGGGCAGCGCCGCCCAGACGCGAGGCGGUGCCGCCGGUGGUUCGCCCAGCUGGGGAGCGGGGAGGGGCAAGAGUACAUAUUCUGAAGCAUUUCUACCUUGAGGAUGAGUUCUGAGGGAAAAGGCUGUGUGUGUGCCUAGCACAACACCUGUGCAAGUCUCUUAAUAAAGAUUUCCAACUGCUGCUCUCUCCAAAGCAGAAAUAACCUGCUCUAAUUUGCGCUCCACGACUGCAAGAUCUGCUUCUGAAAGGAUCGCCUUGAAAAAGUGAUAUUUUUUCCCUAAGUUGCACCCUACAACAAUAAUUACCGCUCAGCAGAGUUGCCCUUCCAUGCUAAUAGCUUGUCUUGCCUCCUGUGACACUGCCAUUGUUCUGCAGUGACACAGAACAAAGCGAAAAUGAAGGAAGUGGGGACGAGGAGUUGGAGGAAACAAAAAGGCGGUGUGCUGGAAGCUGCAAUGGAAGUGCAGAAAGCAUCGAGCCUUCCCACACACAGCUCGUUUGUGGAGUUUUGUUAAGUGCUGGAAAGUCAUAGUGCUGUUACCUGCACAGAAAUGUGUAAUUUCCUUUAGUGAGGGGGAGGAAAGGUGCCGGGUUUUGUUUGGAUUAAGUAAGUGUACUGUAAAUAGGAAAGCUGCUUGAUCCCCGAAGGCACAGAAUUGUGGCUUAUUGCAGCCGUCGUAUUCUCUAAAAUAAUUUAUUUUUUCUCUGAAUGGCAUAAGGAAAUACUUUCCUUGAAAUAUUCGUAUUUAACUGAAAUUUUAAAAUACUCUGUGUCCAUUUAUAUGCAGCUACAGAGGUUUAUAAAUCCUGGUAUAAAACUGUAUCUGUUUUCGUUUAUCUUUUGGGAAAAUGAAAAGCAAUCAUUUAUCCAAACCUGAACAUUGCACUUGAAGCCACGAUAUUGCAGGUUAUCUAAGCAAGCGUUUCACCCUCAACCCAAAAGUCAAUCCCAAAUUCCACUCUAAUGCGUAUGUUGCUCAGAUAGUGAAAGCUGAGAUUAGAAGAUUUGCUAUUGAUGCUUCAAAGUACAUUUUGGGACCCAGUGCCCCAUAUUGAACUUUAACAGAUGAUGCAUAAAUUGACUAAAGCCAGGAAGGCUCCCAGAGGAAGAUUGAAAAAUACAUUCCAAUCUAUCCUCGUAUAUUUUAUAAAAUGUUGGAAACAACCUGCUUUGUCAAAGCCUUCUGAAAUGCUACGGAUGAAAAAAUAUCACAUCCCCAACUUUUUGCAUCUGUCAGAUGGCUGGGAAGACUUCUUUAUGAUUCAUUUCUUUCAGUGAAUUAGUAGGACUAAUUACUAUGUUUUCUGUUUAAAAGUGGCUGGUUUUUCCUUGUUUGAAGAGAAGCCAUGUAAAAUUUUUUUUGUAGCAGUAUUUUGCAGCAUUUAAACCUGAAAUAAAAAUGUUUGUUUUACCUUAAGGAAACAACAACAAUUAGUCACAAUGAGUCUGAAAACAUAAUUACUGGUUGUAAAUUAAAAUUUUUUUUUUUUUUUUUUUCCCUUGGUGAGCAAGAUCAACUUAGCAAUUUCAUAUUUUACUUGCAAUUAGACACAAAUGAAAACUUGAACACCAAGCCUGUGACUGUUCAUUAAAAUCAUUUAAUGAACCCUGUGGUCUGCAUAGUUAAAAAUAAGAAAUUGCCUUCCAGGAUGGUUAAGUUGUCCCAUACCUUUUUCCUUAACUUUGACAGAUUCAAUGUAAGGCUGGAGGCAUGCUUACUCUGAAAGGCACAGUGUUCUCUAAUGAGCUGUUACAAUCACACAACUUAAGCUAAUGAAUUUCUUAUCCUCUUAUGUGGAUAAAAGUUUCUGGUAGAAGUCAAAAGAUCUCAGCUUUUUAAGUGGAUUUGUGCUUUGCAUCUGGGGAGGGAGGGAAGGAAAGGGUACUGCAAAGACUGAAAUUCAUUGUGAUUCUUAACAAGAAGCACCAUGUGGCAAUAGCUUCCUCAAUGAAACCAUUACCAUUAAGAAUCCUUGUGUGCUCAGUUUGAAGUGUGGAACACUCCAAAGCAGAGCAACAGAUCCAUGGGCACACGUGGGAAAAGGAGCUCAUGCUUAAACGAGUCCAUCGGGUCUAUUCAGGAGAGAGGAUUCUCUUCCCACUGACAUCUGUGAAUGACUCCAUGUGUGGACAGGGAAGCUCACUGCUGUGCAGAGGACCCACGCCCCACUUACACACAACAAAGCAGGUCAGAGAAAUUAACGCUGAGAACACUCUCUCUUACUUUGUUGUUGGAGCAAGAAAAAAGAAGACUUUUUCCCUUGAAACGGAUGAGCAAGAACUGUAGAGGUGCUAACUUUUUGCUGUUUCUGCCUUGGGAAACACGGAAUGAUUCCCAGACUGAUCCACAGAUGACAGAUCAUGGGCUGUGCUGGAAAUCUCAAGAGAGCAGCAUUUCCUGGAGAGUGGAAGGAAUAUCUGUCUUCAGAACAGCCAUCUGCAAAGUGUCAUGCUGGUUUUGAGUCUGACAGUGCAAAAGGCUCACCGAGAUACCAGGUGCAGAAAUGUAGCCUAUUUCUUAAAAGGUUAUUGGAAUAAAGUGAGCUGAGUUCUUGUGGCAGCAGGAAUAAAGCAUGUGGUAUUUACUGCCCGUUAUUGCUCUGCACUGCACUGAAUUCCUCCCACAUGACUUACAUGUUGGAAAUGGGAUGUCCUUGUACCUUUAUCUAGGUGAGUCAACGUGCAUUUUUAUACUCACGGUAUUUUUUAGAAGAACUUCAAAACUUUAUUAUCAGUGCUUGGCUCGUUCUCACUCUAUUUUUCAAGUUAGUUAAAAUAGCCUACAUAAAAUAGUAGAGUAUGGAAAAACAAGGGGAGGCCAAAAUGUCUACCAGGUGAGCAACUUUGAUUCAGUAAGUUGCAUGCUUCAGUGGAUCCAGUCACUACUUAAAAUGGGUUGCCUGUCUUCACGUGGGAACAGCCUCAUGUUUUAGUCAGAGAUGCUUGUGUGCCUUUGGUUUCAUUUUGAUGCCUCUUUAUGCUUCAGGCUCAUGACCACAUCAUUUCCACAUUCCAAGCUUGACAUAAAGACUACCAUUCACAGAAAGAGGCAUGUUUUCAUGAGAAACUCAUUGUGUAAUGUAGCCUUGUAAAAAGUGUCAAUAGCACAUUUACAGCACAGCAGAGCCGCUUAAAGCUGAGUGUCUUAACACUCAUUUAUGGAAGAUGGCUGUAAACGUGAGCAUGGGCAAGGUUUAGAUGUCUUCUUUGCAAAGGUAAGCAAUAGCAUUAGGCAGUGUCUGCAGCUGCAGCUCCCUGUGCAAGGACUAGGAGCUGGAAAUACUGCUGUCUCUAUAAAAUAAAGGAAUCCAGACAAACCUGCAAAUUAAGAAUUUUGUAGAGGCUUGGGAAUUAUCUUUGUCCACAACGAAUGGGCAAAAGCUUACUGUAUCCUCUAAUCCCAACUUAUAAUUAACAUUUGAUUUCCAAAAGCGUGGCAAUCUUGUGUUCUUUUCAGUAACAGCAUGUGUUCUAUAUUCAUAGGAAAUCAAAGUUGUACGCUGUUUACAUUUCAGCAGCAUGCUUCAGAAAAUGAAUUUAGCCAUUCAAGGCUUGGGUGCUUUUAAAUAAUAUUAAUAAAAUGAGAAAGUCAUGGGAUGGAGGACCAAAUGGAGAUACAUUGUCACCUGCUGUAAUUACUUUCUUAAUAUGCCAUCUGUUGCCUUAGGUUCUAGGGUCAGGAAGUGAAAUAAGCAGUGGUCUAAAAUAAUGCUGCUUAAGCUGUUUGUGAGUAAUAAUAUAAUGGCACUCUUGGCCCUUGCCUGUACCUGUUUCCCAGAGUGAGACCCGCUCUCCCCAACUACCUGGGAGCAUCCCAGCCAGCAGCCCUGCAGGACCUGUCCUGUGAUUCUGUGAUUCCUGCUGGGAGGAAUAAGGGCAGGGUCAGUGGUUAUAAGCUCUGACAACUCCGUGCAGCCUUUCAGGCUGACACCAAGAACAUUUUCCCCUUUAAAUAAUCAGCUAUUGGAGAAUUAUCAUGGAAUCGUUCUUUGUUUAAUCCACUCUUGUUGUUGGGUAGCUUGUGUGACUCCAUGCACCAAAGCAAAUGACUGAAAAAUCCAGAACAGGAAACUUUUGAUAUGUAAGCAGCAAACACUUGUGUUCAUCCAGGCCUUCCUUUGCUUGACCAUGCGUGUGUAUAUUCUUAGGGGGAAAAGUACCCUGCUUUCCAGCUAAAGCCUGUUGUAUAUGAAUGUAUGCAAGUAGGAAGCAGAGCAGAGCAAAAUACAUUUGAAUCUAAAAAUGUAUGUGAAAAUACACAUGCAUCCAUUGCAUAUCAAGACUACAUCCCACUGGCUCCCUUUGGCAUAAACAGUGUGUUCCUGAAUUGUCCUUCAGAAGAAAAGCUACUCCUUUAACCAUAUAGAGAAUGCUAGACAAAAUUGGAUUUAUGCAGAGGAAAAACAACUUUUUUGUCAUUUCCAGAUAGGAGUUGUUUACAUAGCAGUUGCAAGACGUGCAAAGCAGAAAAAAAAAUACUCAUCCCUGAAGAUGCAGAGUCACUUAAAGCAAACAAAUUCCUCACAUAACUUAUGACACUGAUGCAAUAUAAAUGUACAGAACAAAUGCUCACACUCAUUAAAGAUGGAGAGGGUGCCUGGAGUGUCAGAGCUAGGAGCUGGGUUCAGUUUACAGUUCUCCUCUUGGUUGGUGUGCUAGCCUGGUCAGUUCAUGUGAACUCUUCACAAGCUGCAUGGAUUUCCCCGGAUCUCACAUUACACAUAGGUGAAAUGCUGUGAAUCCACUGAAGUUUUGCCACUGAGGAAUGAAAAACACAUUUAAUUUGUUAUUGUUAAGUGAAAGAAGGCAGUAUAUGACUGAAAUCCAUGCCUUUGAAAUCGGUGAACUUCUUUCUCUUAAUUGUGGUGAGUCAUGAUUAUAAGUGAAUGUGCACGUGUGUAAAUGUUAUGGGAAAAAAAAAAAAAACCAAAAAACAGAAAGAUGGCUGGAAUCAGACUUACAGUUGUAUUUUAACCUAUUCUAAGUAUGUUGUGAUACAGCUACAACCAGUAGUUUUGACUGUAUUUUUAUCCCCACAAGAAUUGGCUGCCAUGCCUUUGGGGAGUGUUUUUGUGUCAAAAUACCACCAAGCAAAGUGUGUUUGCUGAAACUGCAACACCUUUUGUAUGUAUUAUGGCACAUACUAAAACAAGGGGAGGGGGACUCAGUGACACAUACUGAUUAAUUGGUUAACAGGAGCUUCCUCAUACUCAUUACAGCUAUUCAGCCAUAUCACUUUCUAAAUCUGAAGACACAAUUUUAUCUGAAAGCCCAUAUGGCUUAUCAGGAAACUGUGCGUAUAGAAAAUUACCACAAUCCCGAACCAAGAUAAUAUUUAUCUAAUAGACCAUAACAGCUUGGGAAGAGUCAAUAUGGUCUCUCAUUUGAGCAUGCAUUUUGCUAUGCAUUCUACCUAUACAAACACAAGUCAUUUACAUUGCAAGCUAUCUGCCUGGUAAAUCCAUUUUUAGGUAAUUCUUGUAACAGUGGAUAUUUUUUUAUGAGAGAUUAUAAAGAUCGUUUGAAUGUAUUGUAGCUCAUGUAUUAAUUUGGAGAUGACUGAGUAUUUGCCUGGUGGAUUGUAAUGGACUCUGAUGGAGCUGUUGGCUUUUAUCAGCUAAACCCAUAUUUUGGUAUGUAAGCAAAUUUGAAAGAGCAAAAUAUUUGCCGAACAAUCAGCCAGACUGCUGUGUCUGACUUGCAGCAUCCUGCCUGCUCUGAGUCACCAGGUUGAUAAAGGUGCAGCCUGCCUGCUGCCAGGGCCCAGGUCUGGCACAAGUGAGCCAUUACUGUAAAUUCUGUCUCAUCCCUUCCACUCACAGAAAUCAAGGAGUAUGAAGAGCACCUUGCUGGGGGUUAAUGGCUGAAUUGGAAGUGAAGAGGUAACCCUUUCACCUAAUCCCACAAACCUCUGCAGAGAACGUCCUGUAGUGAAGUCAUGCUUACUCUGAAAGUCCUGGGUGGGUCCUGCCUUUGUGUUCGGAGAUCCUUUGACAUUGUAGUUAAAUAGGUUCUUUUUCUCUCUCCAUUUUUUUAGGUUCUGUUUUCCCUCUACUGGAAAAGUGAAGGAGAAUAAAGAGACGAAUGGCAAGAAGAGUGUCAGCAUUUGAAUGGAAAAGGAAAAUUAGCAGGAAGAUCUUGUCUAGGAUUUAUUUCAGUAUUUUAAUAUUGUUCAAAGUGAAGGAUCAGUCUGUUAUCAAAGAAUAUAGAGGUUUUUGUAAAGCAGACAUUUAAAAGGUAAACUUUUUGACAGCAAAUAUUUUUUAAUGACAAAAUUUUGAGCAACCAUAGCAGAGAAAAAAUCCCUCCUGAGGAAGGACUGCUCAAAAUCACAGAGUGGCCCCUUGGCAUAAUCUCUGAGAGCCUGCACUAAGAGGGAUGAAAGUGUCUGUCCUUUUCACUGAAUGCAGAGGGACCCCACGUGGCUGGUGAAUACUAUGUGCCUGACUCCUACACCAUUCAAGUCACAGGAGUUGAAAACUGCUUUUUCACCAAAUCCUCUCACUGAAGAAAAAUGGAAAAACAGCCAGGCAACAGCAGCCUUUCCAGCAGUUUUCCAUAGGUUAUCGAAGCAAAUUUCACCACAUAUCAAGGUUUAGUCCUUUUAAGGAAAAUGAUUGUGUUUAUGCCAUCUCCCAAGUAUUUCAGUGGCAUUUCCAGAAGAGGCAGGUGGUGUGGAUACUGAGUGCAAUAGGGAGAGACUUACUCUCUUGAAAUCACAUAGAAAGUGUGGACUUUGUGUACCAGAGUUAUGGUAGGUCCUAAAGUAACACUUUAUAAACAGAGUUGUAAUUAUUACAAUCGUGAGACAUUUAUGCAGUCAGCCACAGAAUGCUAAAAUAAAAUUUCUGUUAAACAAUGUUCAAUAAAAUGCAGUUUUCCAUCAGAUCACUUUUCUCGAAGAGUGUCAGUAAAAUGGCCGCUGUCACAGUGCCAAUGAGAUGUAAUGGAAGAUAGAUAGUACUUAACAUCCUUAAAAAUGCAUUUAGAUUUGAUGGUUGAGGGCUUGUCAUCAGCAGACAGAACAGGCAUCGAGAUCCCAAAUCCUUCUUACUAGCUAAAUAAACAAACACAAUCUGCAUUCCAUUGAAACUAUGGAAGAAGUAUGCUAGAUAUGAAGAUAUGAAGAUGGCAGAUUCCCACCACAGAGGCUGCACUAGUCACUGCAGCUUUGCUUAAUUUUGAAGAAAAGGACUGGGGAGGAACCUACAGAAAAUAAAUGGAACUAUUUCUGCCAUUCCAUGUCUUGCAGAGUGAAUGAAGAGUGAAAGUGAGAUUUCCACUCGCUGUCCCCUGCUUAUGUGAUGUACUGUGAGGGUACGUAGGAAGCCUCAAACCUGUUAAUAUAUAUUCUGCAGGGUGGGUAAGUGUGCUAUAUUUAAUUUCCAUUGAAACAGUGCUUCUCUCUGAGGCUUCCUACAUACCUUCAUAUCUCAUCCAUCCACUAUUGACUUUGCUCCUUCCUCACUUCUUGCUGCCAUCACAUCAGUCACAGCUGUGUCCCAGCAGUACUUCUGACCCA